rnacentral:rRNA from 1 species
AUUGAACGCUGGCGGCAGGCCUAACACAUGCAAGUCGAACGAGUGGCGGACGGGUGAGUAAUGUCUGGGAAACUGCCUGAUGGAGGGGGAUAACUACUGGAAACGGUAGCUAAUACCGCAUACCAUCGGAUGUGCCCAGAUGGGAUUAGCUAGUAGGUGGGGUAAAGCCUCACCUAGGCGACGAUCCCUAGCUGGUCUGAGAGGAUGACCCGCCACACUUGAACUUAGACACCGUCCCGACUCCUACGGGAGGCAGCAGUGGGGAAUAUUGUACAAUGGGCGCAAGCCUGACGCAGCCAGGCCGCGUGUAUGAAGAAGGCCUUCGUGUUGGAAAGUACUUUCAGCGGGGAGGCGUUACCCGCAGAAGAAGCACCGUCUAACUCCGUGCCAGCAGCCGCGGUAAUUC